rnacentral:rRNA from 1 species
GAUGAACGCUGGCGGCGUGCCUAAUACAUGCAAGUCGAGCGAACGGACGAGAAGCUUGCUUCUCUGAUGUUAGCGGCGGACGGGUGAGUAACACGUGGAUAACCUACCUAUAAGACUGGGAUAACUUCGGGAAACCGUAGCUAAUACCGGAUAAUAUUUUGAACCGCAUGGUUCAAAAGUGAAAGACGGUCUUGCUGUCACUUAUAGAUGGAUCCGCGCUGCAUUAGCUAGUUGGUAAGGUAACGGCUUACCAAGGCAACGAUGCAUAGCCGACCUGAGAGGGUGAUCCGCCACACUGGAACUGAGACACGGUCCAGACUCCUACGGGAGGCAGCAGUAGGAAAUCUUCCGCAAUGGGCGAAAGCCUGACGGAGCAACGCCGCGUGAGUGAUGAAGGUCUGCGGAUCGUAAAACUCUGUUAUUAGGGAAGAACAUAUGUGUAAGUAACUGUGCACAUCUUGACGGUACCUAAUCAGAAAGCCACGGCUAACUACGU